UACAGAGGUCUCAAGCGUUGUUCGGAUUCAUUGGGCGUAAAGGGUGCGUAGGCGGCGUGGUAAGUCGGAUGUGAAAUUUCGGAGCUUAACUCCGAAACUGCAUUCGAUACUGCGGUGCUUGAGGACUGGAGAGGAGACUGGAAUUCAUGGUGUAGCAGUGAAAUGCGUAGAGAUCAUGAGGAAGACCAGUGGCGAAGGCGGGCCUCUGGACAGUUCCUGACACUGAGACACGAAGGCCAGGGGAGCAAACGGG
rnacentral:rRNA from 1 species